GCAGAAUUUGAAUGACUCUUAAACAAAAUCAGGGACAAGACCGUUGUUAGUGAUCAUUACCCUCACUAUCUUAUUGAAUUUAGGAGCUAAACACACUUAAUCUCACUUUUCCCACCUCUUCAGCAAUUUUAGCAGAAUUUCACUAACUGCCUGUGUGCGUGCGCGCGCGCCAGCGCGUGCGCGGGUAGCUAACUGAAACAACAAAAAGAGAGAUCCUGGGUGAGAAGUCAGAUACAUAUGGGACAGGUCAGCUCCUAGAAGAUCCAUCAGUAGAUGCCAGGAGAAAAGAAGUGCAAGAGCCACCUCAAAGUUCUCUGAGUUCAGUGGGAGUGAAACGCAAACGAAGGAAAGCCAGCUCACACGGAAGCGUCCGCGCGAGGGCCACGCAAAGCAGCACGGGACGGAAGCGGGCAUCUCUGAGGACGCGGCGUCUCAAGGUUCCCACUGUCAAGACGGUCCGGGAGGAAAUGGCCUCGCUAGCCGCACUCCCAAAGUUGGCCCUAGAGAGACCCUCAC
rnacentral:lncRNA from 1 species